GAGCAUUUGAACUUCAGACCUCCUACCAGGGCAAGAGGAGUUAUUGCAACUAAGGUAUGUGUAAAGCCACAAAAAAAAAAAAAAAACUGCUUUAUAAUAUAACAUAAUUGGGCUUAUUAAUAGCAUUUGUUUCUGUAUGGUAAGGAUAGACAUGUAUCCACAGUUGAAAAUUCGUUAAUGGUACAUUUUCCUAUAUAUAUGUAUUGGUCCAUCAGGUAAUAAUAAAACAAAGAGACGGGGCACAAAGGAUUGUCUUACAUAGCAUUCUGAUACAUAAUUACUAAUUUAAUCACAUACAUAUCAAUUAGAUCAACAAAUGAAUCAACAACAGCCCUCUUAUCUUGAACUCUAAAACUCUCUUUUGGUAUUCCUAUACAAAUGAAAUUGCAAAAACAGAUUGAUCUACAUUAUUUGAAAAAAUCUAUAAAGUUCAUAACGAACUUAAAAUCAUUGUGCAUAAUCAAAAUGACUAGUAUUGUAGACACCGAUUUUGCCGGGCUCUACUGUUUUAAUAAUUAAUAAUAAUAUUUUUAAUAAAAAAAUUAAUUAAUGAACAAACAAAAAAAAAAACAAACAAAAAGAAACAGAAUAAGACAAGAAAUCAGGGAGUUGGUAUGGCGGCCGCUGUCGCUAGCCUCCCGACCAAACCUACCCCGACCAGCCACCCUACAGCCACCAACCCAACUAUAAGGAAUUUAAAAAUGAAAAUAAGAAAUAACAAGAAAUUUGUAAAAAAAUUAGGAAAAGAAUAAAAAAUGAAAAGAUUUAUGAAAAAAAAAUCGAAGUAUAAAAAAAAAUGGAAACAAGAAAUAAAAAGAAUUUUGUGAAAAUAAAAAUAAAAUAAGAAAAAAAUAUUAAAGCAAAACAAAAAAGAUAAAUAAAAUACAAAAAAAUAUAAAAUAUAAAAUAAACAAAAAUGCGAUAAAAAAUAUAAGAAGUAAGAAAAUCAAAAAUAAAAAAAGAGAAAAAUGAAAUGAAAUGAAAAAAUACAAAAAAAAAACAAAAAAUUGAAAAACAUACAAAAAUAAUAAGAAAACAAUAUAAAAAAUCAAAGACAAAAAAUUAAAAAUGAGAAAAGUUAAUGCAAAAUAAAAAUGAAAACAAAAGAAGAAAAUGCAACAAAAAAAAAACUAUAAGAAUUUAAAAAUGAAAAUAAGAAAUAAAAAGAAAUUUGUAAAAGAAUUAGGAAAAGAAUAAAAAUGAAAAGAUUUAUGAAAAAAAAGCCAAGUAUAAAAAAAAUGGAAACAAGAAAUAAAAAGAAUUUUGUGAAAAAAAUUAGAAAAACAAGAAAAAAUGAAAAAUUGAAGAGGCAAAAAUAUGAAAUUAAAUAAAAAGAUGAAAAAGUUUUCUAGAAAUUUUUAAAACAAAGAAAAAUGUGAAAGCAAAAAAAAAUAUGAAGCACAUGAAAAGAUAAGUAAAAAAUGAAAAGGAAAAAGAGUUAAUGAAAAAUUAUAAAAAUAAACAAAAAAUAACCAACAACGAUAAAUAAAAAAAGAAAACAUGAAAAAGUUAUGAAAACAUGAAUAAAAAUUAUGAAAAUAAAAAUAAAAUAAGAAAAAAUAAUUAAAGCAAAACAAAAAAGAAUAAAUACAAAAAAAAUAUAUAAUAUAAAAUAAAUAAAAAUGCGAUAAAAAAUAUAAGAAGUAAGAAAAUCAAAAAUAAAAAAAAGAAGAAAAAUGAAAUGAAAUGAAAACAUACAAAAAAUAAAAAACCUAAAAAAUUGAAAAAACAAUAUAAAAUAAUAAAAACAAAUUAAAAAGAAUCAAUGCCAAAAAUAAAAAUGAAACAAAAGAAGAAAAUGCAACAACAAAAACUAUAAGAAUUUAAAAUGAAAAUAAGAUAUAAAAAGAAAUUUGUAAAAGAAUUAGGAAAGAACAAAAUGAAAAGAUUUAUGAAAAAAAAAUCCAAGUAUAAAAAAAAUGAAACAAGAAAUAAAAAGAAUUUUGUGAAAAAAAAUUAGAAAAACAAGAAAAAAUAAAAAUGAAGAGACAAAAAUAUGAAAUUAAAUAAAAGAUGAAAAGAUAAGUAAAAAAUGAAAGGGAAAAAGUUAAUGAAAAAUUAUAAAAAUAAAACAAAAAAUAACCAACAACGAUAAAUAAAAAAAAUAAAAAAAUAAAAAAAUAAAAAACAUGAUAAAAAUUUAUGAAAAUAAAAAUAAAAUAAGAAAAAAAUAUUAAAGCAAAACAAAAAAGAUAAAUAAAAUACAAAAAAUAUAUAUAAUAUAAAAUAAACAAAAAUGCGAAUAAAAAAUAUAAGAAGUAAGAAAAUCAAAAAUAAAAAAAAAAAACAGAAAUGAAAUGAAAUGAAAAAAUACAAAAAAAAACAAAAAAUUGAAAAACAUACAAAAAAUAAUAUAAAAAAUCAAAGACAAAAUUAAAAAUGAGAAAAGUUAAUGCAAAUAAAAAAUGAAAACAAAAGAAGAAAAUGCAACAACAAAAAACUAUAAGAAUUUAAAAAUUAAAAUAAGAAAUAAAAGAAAUUUGUAAAAGAAUUAGGAAAAGAAUAAAAAUGAAAAGAUUUAUGAAAAAAAAAUCCAAGUAUAAAAAAAAAUGGAAACAAGAAAUAAAAAAAAUUUUGUGAAAAAAAUUAGAAAACAAGAAAAAAUAAAAAAUGAAGAGACAAAAAUAUGAAAUUAAAUAAAAGAUGAAAAAGUUUUCUAAAAAUUUUUAAAACAAAGAAAAAUGUGAAAACAAAAAAAAAUAUGAAAGCACAUGAAAAGAUAAGUAAAAAAAUGAAAAGGGAAAAAGAGUUAAUGAAAAAUUAUAAAAAUAAAACAAAAAUAAACAACAACGAUAAAUAAAAAAAGAAAAGAAAAAAAUAAAAAAAUAAAAAAAUAAAAACAUGAUAAAAAUUUAUGAAAUAAAAAUAAAAUAAGAAAAAAAUAUUAAAGCAAAACAAAAAGAUAAAUAAAUACAAAAAAAUAUAAAAUAUUAAAAUAAACAAAAAUGCGAUAAAAAUAUAAGAAGUAAGAAAUCAAAAAUAAAAAAAAGACAAAAUGAAAUGAAAUGAAAAAAUACAAAAAAAAUACAAAAAUUGAAAAAAUACAAAAAUAAUAAAAAAACAAUAUAAAAAUCAAAGACAAAAUUAAAAAUGAGAAAAAGUUAAUACAAAUUAAAAAUUGAAACAAAAGAAGAAAAUGCAACAACAAAAACUAUAAGAAUUUAAAAAUGAAAUAAGAAAUAAAAGAAAUUUGUUAAAAGAAUUAAGAGAAGAAUAAAAUGAAAAGAAUUUAUGAAAAAAAAUCCAAAGAAGUAUAAAAAAAAUGGAAACAAGAAAUAAAAAGAAUUUUGUGAAAAAAUUAAAAAAACAAGAAAAAUAAAAAAUGAAGAGGCAAAAUAUGAAACAAAAUAUAAAAGAAAAAAGUUUAUGAGAUAUUUUUAAAACAAAGAAAAAUGUGGAACCAAAAAAAAUACUGAAAGCACAUGAAAAGAUAAGUAAAAUGAAAAAUUUUAAUAAUGGAAAAAAAGAAGAAAGAAAAGCAAGUUAAUGAAAAAUAUAAAAUAAAAGAAAAAAUAACCAACAACGAUAAAUAAAAAAAGAUAGAAAAAUAAAAAAAACAUGAUAAAAUUAUUAAAAUCAUAAAUAGAAAAAAGAAAAAAACAAAAUAAAUAAAGAAAAAAUAAUUAAAGCAAAACAAAAGAUAAAAAAUACAAAAAAAUAUAAUAUAAAUAAACAAAAUACGAUAAAAUAUAAGAAGUAAGAAAAUCAAAAUAAAAAAUAAAAAAAGAAAGAAGUGAAAUGAAAUGAGAAAAUAUAAAAAAAAUACAAAAAUUGAAAAACAUAUAAAAAUAUAAGAAAACAAUAUAAAAUCAAAGCAAAAAUUAAAAAUGAAAACAAAGAAGAAAAUGCAACAAAAAAAAACUAUAAGAAUUUAAAAAUGAAAACAAGAAAUAAAAAGAAAUUUGUAAAAGAAUUAAGAAAAGAAUAAAAAUGAAAGACAAAUUUAUGAAAAAAAAUCCUAGGAAGUAUAAAAAUAAUGGAAACAAGAAAUAAAAAGAAUUUUGUGAAAAAAAUUAGAAACACAAGAAAAAUAAAAAAUGAAAAGGCAAAAAUAUGAAACAAAAUAAAAGAUAAAAUAGUUUUUAUAGAAAUUUUUAAAACAAAGAAAAAUGUGAAAACAAAAAAAAUAUGAAAACACAUGAAGAUAAGUAAAAAAGUGAAAAAUUUAAAAGAAAAAGGAAAAAUGUUAAUGAAAAAUUACAAAAAUAACAAAUAACAACGAUAAAUAAAAAAAGAUAGAAAAAUAAAAAAAUAAAAACAUGAUAAAAAUUUAUGAAAAUAUAAAUAAAGAAAGAGAUAAAAAAUAAAAAUAAAUAAGAAAGAAAUAUUAAAGCAAAACAAAAAAGAUAAAUAAAAUACAAAAAAUAUAAAAUAUAAACAACAAAAAAUGCGAUAAAAAAUAUAAGAAGUAAGAAAAUCAAAAAUUAAAAAUUAAAAAAGACAAAUGAAAUGAAAUUGAAAAAAUAGAAAAAAAAUAAAAAAAAUUGAAAAACAUAUAAAACAUAAUAAGAAAACAAUAUAAAAAAUCUAAGCCAAAAAAACUAAAAAUGAAAACAAAAGAAGAAAAUGCAACAAAAAAAACUAUUAUUUAUUUAAAAAUGAAAAUAUGAAUAAAAAGAAAUUUGUAAAAGAAUUAAGAAAAGGAAUAAAAAUGAAAAGACAGAUUUAUGAAAAAAAAAAUCCUAGGAAGUAUAAAAAAAAAUAGAAACAAGAAAUAAAAAGAAUUUUGUGAAAAAUUAUUAAAAAAACAAGAAAAAAAUAAAAAAGCAAAAAAGCAAAAAUAUAUGAAACAAGAAAAAAUAAAAAAUGAAUAGACAAAAAUAUGAAACACAAAUAAAAGAUAAAAAAGUUUUGUAGAAAUUUUUAAAACAAAAGAAAAAAUGUGAAAACAAAAAAAAAUAUAUGAAAGCACAUUAAAGAUAAGUAAAAAAAUAAAAAAUUUUAAAAGAAAAAAAGAAAAAAGUUAAUGAAAAAUUAUAAAAAUAAAAUUGAAAAACCAACAACGAUAAAAAAAAUAAAAAAAAAGAAAAAGAUAGAAAAAUAAAUAAAUAAAAAACAUGUUAAAAAUUUAUGAAAAUAUAAAUAAAGAAAGAAAUAAAAAAUAAACCAAAUAAAAAAAAAAUAAAAAAAAAAUAUUAAAGCAAAGCCAAAAAAGAUAGAUAAAAUACAAUAAAAUAUAAAUAUAAAAUAAACAAAAAUGCAAUAAAAAUAUAAGAAGUAAGAAAAUCAAAAAUAAAAAAUAAAAUGAAAUGAAAUGAGAAAAUACAAAAAAAUACAAAAAAAAUGAAAAACAUAAAUAAUAAGAAACAAUAUAAAAAUCAAAGACAAAAAUUAAAAAUGAGAAAAGUUAAUGCAAAAUAAAAAUUAAAACAAAAGAAGAAAUGAAAUAAAAAAACUAUAAGAAUUUAAAAUGAAUAUAAGAAUAAAAAGAAAUUUGUUAGAUAAAAAGAAAAGAAUAAAAUGAAAAGACAAGAUUUAUGAGAAAAAAAAUCCAAAGAAGUAUAAAAAAAUGAAAACAAGAAAUAAAAAGAAUUUUGUGAAAAAAUUAGAAAAACAAGAAAAAUAAAAAAUGAAAAGGCAAAAUAUGAAAUAAAAUAAAAAGAUAAACAGUUUUGUAGAAAUUUUUAAAACAAAGAAAAAUGUGAAAACAAAAAAAAUAUAAACACAUGAAAAGAUAAGUAAAAAAUGAAAAAUUUAAAAGGGAAAAAGGAAAAAGAGUUAAUGAAAAAUUAUAAAAAUAAAACGAAAAAUAAACCAACAAUGAUAAAUAAAAAAAAAUAGAAAGAUAAAAAAAAUAAAAAACAUGAUAAAAAUUAUGAAAAUAUAAAUAAAGAAAGAAAUAACAAUAAAAAUAAAAUAAAAUAAGAAAAAAAUAUUAAAGCAAAACAAAAAAAUAAAUAAAGACAAAAAUAUAAAAUAUAAAUAAAGAAAAUGCGAUAAAAAUAUAAGAAAAUCAAAAAUACAAAAAUACAAAAUGAAAUGAAAUGAAAAAAUAAAAAAAUACAAAAAUUAAAAAACAUAUAAAAAAAUAAUAUAAAAAAUCAAAGACAAAAAAAUAAAUAAGAGAAAAGUUAAUGCCAAAUAAAAAUGAAACAAAAGAAGAAAAUGCAACAAAAAAAAAUUAUAAGAAUUUAAAAAUGAAAAUAAGAAAUAAAAAAAAUUUGUAAAAAGAUUAAGAAAGGAAUAAAAAUAAAAAGAAAAGAUUUAUGAAAAAUAAAAAAUUCAAGAAAGUGUAAAAAAAAAUGGAAACAAGAAAUAAAAAAACUGUCAAAAAAUUAGAAAAACAAGAAAAAAUAAAAAAUGAAGAGGCAAAAAAUAUGAAAUAAAAUAAAAAGAAAGUUUUGUAAAAAUUUUAAAACAAAGAAAAAAGUGAAAACAAAAAAAAUGAAAGCACAAAAAAAUAAGUAAAAAAAAAUUUUAAAAGAAAAAAGUUAAUGAAAAACAAAAAAGAUAAAACAAAAUACAAUAAAAAUAUAAAAAUCAAAAAAUCAAAAAUAAAAAAAUAUAUAUUAAAUAAAUAAUUAUAUUAUCUCUUAAUAAAAGAUAAAUAUUAUACAAUCCAAAAUAAUAAAUAAAAUAAUAAGCAAUAAAAAAAUAAUCGAAAUUGUAUUAAAUAAAAAAUAAUAUUAUCUAAUAUAAUUUUUGUUAAUUACAUAAAUUACACGAUAAAUAAAAAUAAAUUUCCAAGAUAAAAUACAAAAGAAUCUUAAUUAGAUAUCUAAUUAGUAUACAUACACAUAAACACCUUCAUUUUUAAUGAAGUCAAAGUCUCAUUCAACAAUGCUUAAUAAUAAGGUGAUCUGCAUUUUAAGUUAAACAUAAACAACAUGCCACAUAUAUAUAAAGAACAAUGCUGCAUUUAAGUUAAACACAAGCAACAUGGCACAUGUAUAAAGAACAAUGCUAUUUUAGAAAUAAAGACAAUUAAAACUUGAACUUCAUGCUCAAGCAAGGCAAAGAUUGCCUGCAAAAUAAACCUAAUAACAUCCAUUGCUCACAAAUCAGAUAUUAUAAAUGUUUUAACUCGGAAACCCAAAGAUACGAAAGUAAAAGGGCCUUUAAAAACCUAAAGAGAAAUUAAAACUAAAGCAACAAACCUUAACAAAAAAAGAUUAUAAUGAAAGGCCAAAGAUAAGAGUAGUUUUGCAUCUCAACAUAAAUAUACAACAAUUAUAUACCAAAGUUAAAAAACAACAGCCACCAACACAUCAUAAGUCAGGAUGCUUCCAAUAUAAACAGUAUUACUUAAGAAAACAAAGUCUAUAUUAUAAUCAGAAACACAGAAUUUUAGCAACUUUAAUCAAACUUUCAUGAUCUGAAAUGUACUAAACAAGUACAAUUAUCAUCGAAAUUACCAUACAAUACAACAAAAAUUCUAUGCAAGAUCAUAGACUUUCAAAGAAUCCAAUAAGAAAGAGGCAAUCUUCCAUCUCAGUGCUUAACUAGAUUUAAGUUUAUGAAAUUAAUCUUAAAAAAGUAAUCAAUCAUGCAACAAAGUAAAGUGAAAUCAGCAAAACAAGAAGAAUCAAACACAACACAAAAAAAAAAGAGGUACUCUUCAUUGUAAGCACUCAUCUUCAGUGCGAGGUUGGAUUAAGUUUUUGAAAUUAAACCUAAGAUUACAAUUUGUCAUGCAACAGAGUUGAACUAGCAAAAUAAAAAAAUAAAAAAUAGAAAACUCAACCAUACAAAUUUGGAGUACACUGCUGAUACAAUCUCUAAUUCCUCUCUCUAGCAAAUCGUGUUCGAAGUACACGAUCAACUAAUUCCGUAUAGACUACUAAAUGCAAUCACAAUUAAGAAAAGUUUACAAAACUACAAUCUGUACACAAAAGAUGAAAACUAAAAUUUAAUGAAUGUUAAAGAUAAGAGAUCAACAUAUAAUUGAUAGUUCAAAUCAAACUCCGGCAAAUCACAAGCCUACAACCAAAAAAUUAGAAUUAACCAGAAGCUAUGGGAAUGAAAAUCUAAAAGCCAACUUGCAAAAUAAACCCAACAAAACACACAGGAAUAAAACCAACCAAACACACCAGGACAUCAGAAAUUUGAAACUUUAAUUCCUCUAUCCUGCAAGGUAUGCUUAGAGCACAAUAGCCCAUUAAGCGUUCAAAGAACAAACAAAUGACAACUAGGGCACAUCAAUGGAUGAAGAACCAACAACCCAGGAAUUUCUUGACAGUAACAUUCUCCUAAUGCAUUCGUCAAACAACUUCAUCAACGAUUAGAGGCAACCACAAUAAAAAGUUUGACAAUCAUCACAUAACUAAAAAAAGCCAAGCCAGUGAAACCACAUAAAAAGUUUUUUCUCUCUGUCAUGCCACAGAGAGAAAAACAAGAAGGAAAACUCCCAUACACACAGAGCCACACAUUUUAAUCCUUAAAUCCUACACACAACCAUACAAAUUUAGAAUCCAUAAUUCCCCUGCAAGUCAUUCUUGGACGACACAACGCAUCAAGUUUCAAACAGACCAUCACAUCACAACCCAAGGGAAUUUUUCAAAGUAAAGUUACAAAGCCCUAAUUUAUGUAAAAGUUUAAAAAUGAAACAAGAAGAAUCAAGACACAAUCUCAAUGAGAAAGACAUCAAACUGAGAGCCUAUGACAACAUAUAUUUAGAAUUUCAAAGAAUCCAGCAAAAAGAAAUAAUCUUCCUUUUAAGCAUUCAACCACAAUGCAUGUCAAAAUUAAAUUACAGAAAUUGAACCUAGCAAACCAAUCUGCCUUGUAACAAAUAGAGUGAAACAACAAAAUAAAAACCUCCCUAAACACGUACCUACACACACAAGAGGCACAGAAAUUGAAUUCGCUGCUUGAAGCACACAUGGAGAAAACAAACUCCCAUACACAGCCACAUAAAUUUUUAAUUCUUAAAUGCAACACCAUAGAAAUUUAAUGCCUUAAUUCUCCCUACACUACAAAACACAGAAUUCAAUACACUAUUUAGACUUUCAAAGAUCCAUCAAAGGAAAGAUCCUCUUGUAAACAUUUCCAUCAAUGCAUGUCAAAAUUAAGUUUACAAAAAUGUAACUAAUUCAACACCUGUUCUUAACAACAUCAUGCUUCAUUAAUUCUUAAUAAUACCGUCAUGACUAACCACCAAUGACAUGAAGAACAUUGAACUGACACAGUAAUAAACCAUCCAAUACGCAACAGAAUUUUGUGUUUUCAUCCCAAUGCUUAUAGAAUAUAAAUAGAUGCAAACUACAAGAAGAGGGGACAGCAGAAAAACACAGUCCAAUCCCUAAACAUUGAGAAUCAUUCUUACCCCUAUGCUCCUUACCACCAUAAACUCACAGCCAUCAACAAUCUAUUCCACUUUUAUUGAGGCUAGAAUUCUUCAAAGAUAAUGCCUGCAUAUCCUAUUACAAAAAGCAAUGCCAUAGAAAUAUGCAUUAUGAAAUUAGAUCAAAUUAAGAAAGGCUUCUGUGGAUAAUACAAGAAUAUACAAAAUAUUGGCCAAAGAUGAAAAAAUGAUUACAACCUACAAAGAAAGGAUUGCACAAGAAAUUAAAGAUAAACCUGGAUGUUGGUAACCCAUGAUAGGUUAAUUGCCACAGUCCCUGUUAAAGCUGCUGUGAAAACACCAAUAGUUUUCAACAAAUUAGUCUUUGGCUGGUAAGUAACUUCGAAAUCUAACGAGCUAGCUUCAUCAACUCAACAUAAAGGAUCACAAGGUCCAGAGGUUGAGGUCAGCUCCUGUUGAUAUGCAAAGGUUAUUUCAGUGUGUGGAAGAACCCAAAAAUGAAGAAACACAGACACUGCCGUUUUGCUAUGAUGGUUGGUUUUUAUAGCAAUUUGGAGAAAGCUUUCUAAACAGCCUUUUGUAUAAUCUUCCCUCAUAAAGAGGAUCAUUACUCAGCCUCAAUCCUGCCAAUGAAGGAUGAGAAACCAAGAAGAGUCAUUUGAAAAAUGUUCCUAGCCUUUAGGAUUCAGCAUUUUUUACACAAUGAGGCUACUUUCAGGACUUGAACUUGCUCAUUUGAGCCCCUCAGCCAAAAUCUUUUAUAUUACACCAGACAGUGUCUCCUAAUCAACCCUCAUAUAUCUAACUAAAUCAAUCUGAUUUCUGAGCUAAACAUCUGCAGAAGGUAAUUUCCAAUAGCAACAGCUUGAAAUUCUAUCAAAUUAUUUGACCUCCUCAUUAACCAAGAUAAAAUCUUCAAAUGUAUGAACUAGCAGUACAGGCAAAUGGGUACCCUUAAACUGGAAGUACUUAUAAGCAAGACAAUAGAUGACAAGAGACACAAAAUGAAAUCAAAAAACACUCACCCAAAUCAUAAAUCAAUGAAAAUGCAAAUGGGUACUCGUAAAGAUAAAAUUUUUCAUAAUGGCAUAGGGAUGAAAAGAACAAAAACCUCAAGCUGCUUUUCAUUGUUGGGUUGAACUUUUUGUUGCCGUGCAAUAACUUUCGUUACGGGGUUUACCUAGACUCAUAAUUGUUGUUAUAUUAUUACAUUAUAAUAUAAAUCAAAUUAAGAAUUUUUUUUAUUGAAAGAAAAAAAGAACAAUACUAAUUUUUUUACUUGAGAUACUAUAACUAAUUCAAGGUAUGGAUCCAAUCUAUAACUAAAGUUAUAAAGGGGAUACACUCAUUCUUUUUGGUUUCUAACCUUUGGUGACAUGGCUAACCAGUAAGGCGGGGAUUGCAAAUCCCUUAUUCCCCGGUUCAAAUCAAGUUGUUGCUUGAUCAACAAAAAACUUGGAACCCUAUAUUCUGCUUUGCUCAUAUGACUCAAAAAUUUUUCUCUACCAAAAACAAGUGCAAGAAAAGGACUCUUGAUACUUUCUUGACUAUAAACUUAGCAAGGUUUUGUCUUCAAAAAUGUUGUAAAUCCUUACGUCUAGGAUUCAAGGAAAAGUUAGAGUAGGAGAGGGGAAUCAGAAAUCUUGAUAUGAUAUCCCCUCUCCUAUUAAUGGAAGGGCUGCUAAAAGAGUCUUCAAUUAGAUUGGAUAUCAUAAUGGGAGUGUCUAAUUAUUAACAAAUGAAUAGUUGUACAAGGGUAAGUAAUGAACAACAGUUACCUUUAGGAAGUCUUUCAUGCUUUGAAAGCAAGGUUCAGACAACACAUCAUUGCAACAUAUAUGUAUGCAAUAAUCCCACAUUCCCCAAAAGACAAAGGGAAAAGGAGGGAGGCAAAGAGGAAUCUAACCCAAAAGGAAGCAUCACAUGCAUGUGUUCAUCAACAAUAGGUGACAGACGCUAAAAGCACCCAGACAAGUAGACAACAGAGCUUGCAUAGCAUUUUACACGUACAGCCCACAACCAAACAGAAUAAGUCUAUUGCAAAUCAUUGAAAAGGCUGCAGAUCCUAACAAAAAUGUUCACCUAAUGGCUCCAGCUGCUACUUUGUGAAAAUAAGCAUGUGAAUGCAACCAAUCUUUAAAUUUUAGCUUUCCAACAUAUGCACGUGGUGCCAUUUUCCGCAAACAAUAAGAAUGGAAAUCAAAUUGAUCUUCAGUAAUAUCAGCAUAGUGCUUCUCCACAGCUAUAAAUUUCUCCAGGGCCCGUCCAAAAUCACCAUGUCGAAAGUAACUUUCAUCAGAAGCAAGUUCAUACCUUCAAAAGAUGGAUAACACUCAGUAGGUGUACCCAAAUUAUAAUUAGAGACAACAACAUGUGGAAGGUAAUAAACAAAAACAGACCACAUGCACUGCAUGUCAUGAAGGUUGUUGUGCUGGCCCCCAUCUUUCGUGAACAAAACAGCAGUUUUUCCUGCCAAAGCCACCUUCAAAAGUAGAAAAAGCUUGUGAACAGUACAAUAAUACCGAAAGAAAUUUAGUGACAAAUAUUAACUAUGACAAAAGAUGAAGUGGGGAAGCCUUAGAACCUGAUCAGACUGCAACAUUCGCUUCACAGAUUAACUGUUUACAUAGCGAUCUGCAAGAUCCAUACACCUAGCUUCAUCUGUCAAUGAAGCCACAGCUACCAAAUCACCAACAUGUUUCAGUAUCCGACUCUGUCACCAAAGAGAAGUAAAUAAUAUACACAUAGACCCAGCUUCAAGAAAAUUCCAAGAACUUCUCCAAAAGAUCAAGAAACAAUAGCCAGUCAAACUAAAAAACACCAGUCAAACUAAUACAAAAAAAAAAAAAAAUCUCACCUGGAUAUAAAGGCUAGAAGAGGCUUAAUGCAAUCAAUUGCCGCUUUACGAAAUUUGUUUCCUUGCAGUAAAUCAAGUGGUAUCCUCUAAAAAUUGAGAAAACAAAGUUUUAAUAUAAGUCCUAGAACAUUCAUCACACAUCAUAAAGGAAGUAGCAUUUAUUGGCAAUAAUGAUGCACAUUGUAACAGCAAUAAUUACAAUUCUCAUGAAUGAAUACAUAACAAAUGUGGGUUACAGGAAGAAAACAAUUUAAAUACAUCCUCACUGCAUGAGUCAAAUUCCAAAAGCUCUAGAGUUUGACACUUUAUUUCAAUCAUGCCAUAACCUGGCCCAUCGUCAAAAGGUUUUUAUAUAGGAAAGUCAGUUUAACUAAAAGAAUGAGAUAAAGAUAGCCACUAAUAAAAGAAUUAGCCACCAUGUCAACUCUCUAGGGGUGAAGCAUAUGAAAGCAUAAUUUUAACCACCUAGAGUUCUUACUAUUGUCACAUCAAGACAUCAAUGAAGUAUUUCAGCAUAAUACCACAACUAUCUAUUUCUAGAUUAUUUAAGAAUAUCACAAGCCAUCGAAUGGACUGUGUCUAUUGUAGAACCACAUCACUAGAUUUUUGUCACAUAAUUUCUUAUCAAGCCAUCAAGAAAAACAAGAUCCCUACAAGAGUAUUUGUAAAAAUAGCCGCCCCUCCUCUCUCUAGAAAAGGGGAGAAAGCUUGAUAGCUCUACAAAAAAAGUAAGGUUUUCGUUGGAUUUGCAUCAUGUGAUUCUAUAAAUAAGAGAGAGAAGAAAUCCAGAGUAAAUAUAAUGAACAGAACAUCCCAAGGUACCAUUUGGAGCUUAUUAAAAAAAAAUACCAAACAGAAAAUCAAAUUAAUAUGACUAACAGCUAAGACAUAAUAAAACAGCUUACACUAGCAAUAUCAUUAUCUACAGUCUAUAACGAGAACACAUUUUAUCAUCAGAAAAAAAUAGAAAAAAAUCAAAUCGGGCAUUAUUUGAAGUAAAAAAUUUAAAUAAAAUUAAGAUGGUAGAAAUCAAACCUUCAUAAGGUCUCCAAAUUCCUCACACAUUCCAAUUUGUCCUCCACCAACUAAUUCUCUACUUAACAGCCUCAAGUUUCUUGGUCUGCUCCAAGGUAUAUAACAUUUCUGCAACUGCCACUAUAUGCAUCAAAGAUUCUGCAGAACCAAAAAGUGAAAUUUGCAUGAUUAUACAACCUACCUCAAGGAACCUAAAAUGCAUCAUGUUAUGUAAAGGUCGUAAUACCUUCAUGUUUACCAAGGAAAACUUUGUUCGCCUCACUAAGAGUUUUCUCCUGCAAUUGACUGCAGAAAGAGAAAAUAAAGGGAUUUAAUGCAUCAGGGAUCAAAAUAAUAAUAGUAACAGUAACACAACAAAAUUCUAGUAGGGGAAUAGCUAUCAUAAAACCAUUUCAAAGAGAACCUGAUGGAUGGACGCUCAGCUUCUAAGACACUCCAAACAAGUUUUUCAGCAUCAGUUAAUGGAGCAGGCAUUGAGCCCAAUUUAUGGAAAAAUUUAAUCUGCAUUAGAUUAAAUUCAAAUAAGCAUUGUAAAGAUUACAUGAUCUUUGUAUCUAAGAACAGAAAAGAAUGCAGUUGUGCAUGGCAGUGCACAAAUAUGGUAGGGCAGAUGUUACAUGAAUCUGGAUUCUCAGCAUCCAGCCUUAGCAGUUGCUUUACAGCCUUCGCAGUUGCUUUACAGCCUUCAGGAAAACAAAAUAAAACCAAGACAAACGUACUAAUAUGAGCUCAUGAAAUAGUAAAAGUACUACUGCACAAAACCAUUGUUCUACAACUCAAAGAUAUGUCGUGCAAACUAUCUAAUUCACACAUAAAUUCAUUGAGUGAGUAGAGCAAUAAGAAAAGGAUGUUUGGUUAAACGGUACAGUUUCUUUAUUUCAAGAACAUAUCCACAGGCAGAAAGUGAAAAAAGAGAGGAGAAAACAAGAGAAGGGGCUUCCUCACAAAUCACUAGCUGACAAUUAAAUAUCAGUUCUAGUUGACCAAACACAAAAAGAACAAGAAACACAUCUCAUGUUCAAUUCUAGGAAAAUAUAAUACCUGAAAGGCAAGCAAAAUCUUCUGCUUUCUCAUAUUUACUUCAACAGAAAGUAAGUGCGUCUCCAAAGAAUCAGGUGAGUUCUUCUGAAGCAACUUCAAGUACUUCGUUGCUUCUGACAAGGGAUACUCUGUCUGAAAAAAAAAAUACAGAUUAAACAGUCUUAGCUUAAUAGGCAUUAGCGUAACACAUUUUUACAGCACGAGGACUUUAAUCAGGAAUCUAAAGCACAGGGAAAAGAUAAUAAUAGGUAACCUUCAAUAAUUUUCUCCAAAAGGAUAAGGAUCUACAGGUUUAACAUGUCGUUUCCCACACUUAGAGAUGCCACUAGAACUUGAUUCUUCAUUUUUCUCCUCUGCCUCUUAAAAUAAUACACGGCAUCAGAAUGAAAUCAUCAAAGAGAGUGUUAGCCAAGAAUCACCAAAACAAGCUGAUAUACUUUCUUAGCUCGUUCCACCUUCCUCUGCUUCUUCAUUUUCUUUUUCUGAGAAGGAGUCUUUGAUGUGUCAUCCUCUUCUUCAGCCAGUGAGUUCAAAGGAGAAUCAAACAACUUUAGAUAGCAUUUGCACUUCAAAAUCCAAUAAUUAUCACAAUGCAGAAAGAAAAGGUUCAAAAUUGAAGUAAUCACCAGUUUCAAGCCAAGAGUUUCAGAGAAAGAAACACCAACAUAGAAAUGGGACCAAUGGAUCAAUCACAAAAACUAUUACUUAAUUGUUGCAUGGCCUGUCACUAUAUCAUCCCAUUCCAUUCACCAUCAAAUCAAUAAGAUCAAUAUAAAAAGCUAUAUAAUCAACAAAUAAAUUCUGGUACUUGGUAAACAUGCAAUUCUCCAUCCUUACCCAACAGAAAUCCCAGGUGCCGCCUUCCUAUCAUUUAAAAAAGCCACAAUCUCAAAUUUCAAUAUGCCUGCAAGGAACAUUUAAUCCUUUCAGUAAUAACAUCACAAGAAUAUGAAACUUACAAAAGAUAUAACGAAAGCAAAUUGAGACUACCAAGCAAAAUUUUUAUCCUGUUUGGCAUUAUACCACAAGGUCUCGACAUAAUAUAAUAAGAAUCCCCUAAGUACAACGUAAAACACCCAUCCUAAGUAUGAAACAAGUAUAUAACCUUAUAAAAAUCAGAAACUAUAAUCUAGAAUACUUGUUAAAUUAAAUUUGACUUGAGCAUCAUUUGAACACAAAUUUUUUAAGCAGAUCCAAAUAUUUGCAUCUUCUUUUAAUAGUUAAUAAUUUGUGGGAGAGCAUUUGAACUUCAGACCUCUACCAGGGCAAGAGGAGUUAUUGCAACUAAGGUAUGUGUAAAGCCACAAAAAAAAAAAAAAAAAACUGCUUUAUAAUAUAACAUAAUUGGCUUAUUAAUAGCAUUUGUUUCUGUAUGGUAAGGAUAGACAUGUAUCCACAGUUGAAAAUUCGUUAAUGGUACAUUUUCCUAUAUAUUAUGUAUUUGGUCCAUCAGGUAUAUAAAACAAAGAGACGGGGCACAAGGAUUGUCUUACAUAGCAUUCUGAUACAUAAUACUAAUUUAAUCACAUACAUAUCAAUUAGAUCAACAAAUGAAUCAACAACAGCCUCUUAUUUGAACUCUAAAACUCUCAUUUGUAUUCCUUAUACAAAUGAAAUUGAAAAAACAGAUUGAUUAACAUUAUUUGAAAAAAUCAUAAAGUUCAUAACGAACUUAAAAUCAUUGUGCAUAUCAAAAUGACUAGUAUUGUAGACACCGAUUUUGUCCGGGUCUACUGUUUUAAUAAUAAUAAUAAUAUUUUUAAUAAAAAAAUUAUUAAUAAACAAAACAAAAAAAAAAAAACAAACAAAAGAAACAGAAUAAGACAGAAAUCAGGGAGUUGGUACGGCGCCGCUGUCGCCAGCCUCCGACCAGCCACCCUACAGCCACCAACCAACUACCCUACAGCCACCUAGAUCCCCCUAAUUUAAGCCUUUAAAAAUCUCCAGCCACUUCCCCUUCAAGAAGGAGGAAGCUGGCUGGAAUCCCCAUUCAACCUUGCUCUAAAAAUUCCCUUUUCUGAAACCUCUCCCUCGAAUCCCUCCUUUUCCGAAAUCUCUCUCGAACGCAUAGGAACCCGUUCACUUCAUCCCUACCAAAAAUCACCAAACGAGCUACCCCUCCCUCAAAACACUCCCAAACACCCAAAAUACCCAA
rnacentral:lncRNA from 1 species